rfam:Felis catus isolate Cinnamon breed Abyssinian chromosome X, whole genome shotgun sequence.
GCCUGGGUGGCUCAGUUGGUUGAGCGUCUGACUUCGGCUCAGGUCGCGAUCUAACAGUUCGUGAGUUCGAGCCCCGCGUCGGGCU